GAUGAAGAACGCAGCGAAAUGCGAUACUUGGUGUGAAUUGCAGAAUCCCGUGAACCAUCGAGUCUUUGAACGCAAGUUGCGCCCGAAGCCGUCAGGCCGAGGGCACGCCUGCCUGGGCGUCACACGCCGUUGCCCCCCCGCGCCCCGCGCCCAACUCUUUGGGAGCGACCGCGGGGCGGGCUGAUGAUGGCCUCCCGUGCGCUCCGCCGCGCGGUUGGCCCAAAUACCGAGUCCCCGGCGACGUGCGCCACGACGAUCGGUGGUUGAGAGACCUCUGUCGCAAGUCGUGCGCGCCCGUCGCGUCACGCGGGCUCGCAUAGCGCCUCGCGCCGCACCCGGUGCGGAGCUUUCAACGCGACCCCAGGUCAGGCGGGGUUACCCGCUGAAUUUAAGCAUAUCAAUAAGCGGAGGA
rnacentral:misc_RNA from 1 species